GAUGAACGCUAGCGGCAGGCUUAACACAAUGCAAGUCGAGGGGUAACAUAGAAAAGCUUGCUUUUCUGAUGACGACCGGCGCACGGGUGCGUAACGCGUAUACAACCUACCUUUUAGCGGGGAAUAGCCCAGGGAAACUUGGAUUAAUGCCCAUAGUAUAUAGACUUCUCCUGAAGUUUAUAUUAAACAUUUAUGGCUAUUAGAUGGGUAUGCGUCCUAUUAGUUAGUUGGUAAGGUAACGGCUUACCAAGGCAGCGAUAGGUAGGGGUCCUGAGAGGGAGAUCCCCACACUGGUACUGAGACACGGACCAGACUCCUACGGGAGGCAGCAGUGAGGAAUAUUGGACAAUGGGCGAGAGCCUGAUCCAGCCAUGCCGCGUGCAGGAAGACUGCCCUAUGGGUUGUAAACUGCUUUUACAGAGGAAGAACCACCCCCACGUGUGGGGGUUUGACGGUACUCUGCGAAUAAGGAUCGGCUAACUCCGUG
rnacentral:rRNA from 1 species